GAGUUUGAUCCUGGCUCAGGAUGAACGCUGGCGGCGUGCCUAACACAUGCAAGUCGAACGAAGAGGCGGCAUCAGAAUCCUUCGGGAGGAAGAAGCCGUUUACUGAGUGGCGGACGGGUGAGUAACGCGUGGGCAACCUGCCCAGUACAGGGGGACAACAGUUGGAAACGACUGCUAAUACCGCAUAAGCCUGUAAUGCCGCAUGGCAUAUCAGGAAAAACUCCGGUGGUACUGGAUGGGCCCGCGUCUGAUUAGGUAGUUGGUGGGGUAACGGCCUACCAAGCCGACGAUCAGUAGCCGGACUGAGAGGUUGAACGGCCACAUUGGGACUGAGAUACGGCCCAGACUCCUACGGGAGGCAGCAGUGGGGAAUAUUGCACAAUGGGGGAAACCCUGAUGCAGCGACGCCGCGUGAAGGAAGAAGUAUCUCGGUAUGUAAACUUCUAUCAGCAGGGAAGAUAGUGACGGUACCUGACUAAGAAGCCCCGGCUAACUACGUGCCAGCCGCCGCGGUAAUUC
rnacentral:rRNA from 1 species